GACGAACGCUGGCGGCGUGCUUAACACAUGCAAGUCGAACGAAGUGGCGAACGGGUGAGUAACGCGUAAUCAACCUGCCCUUCAGAGGGGGACAACAGUUGGAAACGACUGCUAAUACCGCAUACUGAAGGAGGGGAGUGCGUCGGAUUAGCUAGUUGGAGGGGUAACGGCCCACCAAGGCGAUGGUCAGUAGCCGGGUCGAGAGGAUGAACGGCCACAAUGGGAAUGAGACACGGGCCAGACUCCUAAGGGAGGCAGGAGUGGGGAAUCUUCCGCAAUGGACGAAAGUCUGACGGAGCAACGCCGCGUGGGGUAUGAGGGCCUUCGGGUUGUAAAGCUCUGUUAAUCGGGACGCGGUACCGGAAUAGAAAGCCACGGCUAACUACGUGCCAGCAGCCGCGGUAAUAC
rnacentral:rRNA from 1 species